UAACUCCUAUAAAAUUUCAUCGAAUCGCUUCGAUCCAAAUUAGCCAAAAAUUCCUGAGGAUGUAACGAACAAUUUGUAAAAAGAAUUUUGUCGCUUUCUUAUUUUGUUACGAAGGAGAUGCACACACAUGACAAACAGUGAAUAGGGAGAUAACUCUUACAAAGAAAAUGGUUCGGCUUAGCAGGGUGAAAUUUAAAAGCGCAUAAACUAUACGAUACAAUAUGAAAAAAAUCUAAGCGACAUAUUGCGAAACAAACAUUUAUCGCAAGAACAAAAUUUGGCGGAAGAAAAAAAAAAAAAAAUAAUAAUAAUAAUAAUAAUCAGAACAAAUACAAUAGGCUUUCCACAGAAAAGUGGAAAGACCUAAUAAUCAGAAC
rnacentral:lncRNA from 1 species